UCUGCCUAGUAGUGGGGGAUAACUUGCCGAAAGGUAAGCUAAUACCGCAUACGUCGUACGGGAGAAAGCAGGGACUCUUCGGAGCCUUGCGCUAUUAGAUGAGCCUAGGUCGGAUUAGUUAGUUGGUGAGGUAAUGGCUCACCAAGACCGCGAUCCGUAACUGGUCUGAGAGGAUGAUCAGUCACACUGGAACUGAGACACGGUCCAGACUCCUACGGGAGGCAGCAGUGGGGAAUAUUGGACAAUGGGGGGAACCCUGAUCCAGCCAUGCCGCGUGUGUGAAGAAGGCCUUCGGGUUGUAAAGCACUUUAAUUUGGGAGGAAGGGCUUACGGUUAAUAACCGCUAAGUUUUGACGUUACCAAAAGAAUAAGCACCGGCUAACUUCGUGCCAGCAGCCGCGGUAAUACGAAGGGUGCAAGCGUUAAUCGGAAUUACUGGGCGUAAAGCGCGCGUAGGUGGUUCAGUAAGUUAGGAGUGAAAGCCCCGGGCUCAACCUGGGAAUUGCUUCUAAAACUGCUGGGCUAGAGUACAGUAGAGGGUGGUGGAAUUUCCUGUGUAGCGGUGAAAUGCGUAGAUAUAGGAAGGAACAUCAGUGGCGAAGGCGACCACCUG
rnacentral:rRNA from 1 species